rnacentral:rRNA from 1 species
UACGUACCGUCCAAACGUUAUUCGGAAUUACUGGGCUUAAAGGGUACGUAGGCGGCGCUGUCAGUCGGGUGUGAAAUCCCAGGGCUCAACCCUGGAACUGCGCCCGAUACUGCAGUGCUUGAGGGAGACAGAGGUGAGCGGAACUGAUGGUGGAGCGGUGAAAUGCGUUGAUAUCAUCAGGGACACCAGUGGCGAAAGCGGCUUACUGGGUCUCUUCUGACGCUGAGGUACGAAAGCCAGGGGAGCGAAGGGG